UACGAAGGGGGCGAGCGUUGUUCGGAAUUACUGGGCGUAAAGCGCGUGUAGGUGGCCAAGUAGGUCAGCUGUGAAAACUUGAGGCUCAACCUCAAGCUGUCGGUUGAAACCACUUGGCUAGAGUCCGGAAGAGGAGAGUGGAAUUCCUGGUGUAGCGGUGAAAUGCGCAGAUAUCAGGAAGAACACCCGUGGCGAAGGCGGCUCUCUAGUACGGUACUGACGCUGAGACGCGAAAGCGUGGGGAGCGAACAGG
rnacentral:rRNA from 1 species